rnacentral:rRNA from 1 species
AUUGAACGCUGGCGGAAUGCUUUACACAUGCAAGUCAAACGGCAGCACGGGGGCAACCCUGGUGGCGAGUGGCGAACGGGUGAGUAAUACAUCGGAACGUGCCCAGUCGUGGGGGAUAACGUAGCGAAAGUUACGCUAAUACCGCAUACGAUCUACGGAUGAAAGCGGGGGACCGUAAGGCCUCGCGCGAUUGGAGCGGCCGAUGUCAGAUGAGGUAGUUGGUGAGGUAAAGGCUCACCAAGCCGACGAUCUGUAGCUGGUCUGAGAGGACGACCAGCCACACUGGGACUGAGACACGGCCCAGACUCCUACGGGAGGCAGCAGUGGUGAAUUUUGGACAAUGGGCGAAAGCCUGAUCCAGCCAUUCCGCGUGCAGGAUGAAGGCCCUCGGGUUGUAAACUGCUUUUGUACAGAACGAAAAGGUUUCUACUAAUACUAGGAGCUCAUGACGGUACUGUAAGAAUAAGCACCGGCUAACUACGUGCCAGCAGCCGCGGUAA